rnacentral:rRNA from 1 species
UACGGAGGGUGCAAGCGUUGUCCGGAUUCAUUGGGUUUAAAGGGUGCGUAGGCGGUCCCUUAAGUCAGCGGUGAAAUCCCACGGCUCAACCGUGGAACUGCCGUUGAUACUGAGGGACUUGAGUUCGUCCGAGGUCGCUGGAAUGCGUGGUGUAGCGGUGAAAUGCAUAGAUAUCACGCAGAACACCGAUUGCGAAGGCAGGUGACUGGGACGCGACUGACGCUGAGGCACGAAAGUGUGGGGAGCAAACAGG